CUUAACCGGUAUGGUUAUAUGGACGUACAGUCUUCACUACUUAAUAAUUGGAUUGUUUUCUCAAAGCAAAACUUUUAUGUGUAGUGUUCUUGGCUUUUAUGUGGGGAAAAACUCUUAGGACAAUUCUUAUCAUCACACACUAGUUUUAUGAACAAGGCGAAUGUAUUUCAAAUGCAUUCUUUAAACUUAUUUCGUCUGGGAAUCAAUACUUUAAUUUAAAUUACAUUACUGGUAGUCAUAACUGUUUGCCUUAUAUCAUGUUAUAUUGUUUAGGUUGAUUUAUAUGAUAACAUAUCACAGAAUUUUCACUUUUUAAUCAAAUACUCAGUUAAUAACAAAACCAUAUUGGUGACAUCACUUUUAUUACCCAUUGUGUUGUUUAGAUUAUUCUGUUUUUAUAUACCAUUAAGUAUCUUAGUUUUGUUUAAUUAGGAAAAACCUACUGGUAACCAUGGAAACUAAAAACUAUUUUACUGUUAUCAUGGUAAUGUAAAAUGAUUAUUAAACUAUUGAGUACCAAUCCAUACAUUGAUUUCUCAAAAUAUGUGGCACCCUUGAUUUCCAUUUUUAUCAGAAGUAUUUAUUAAUUUGCUCAAAUUUUCAUUUAAGAAUUGAUUUAGUUGUGAAGAAAUAAUUUUGCUCAAAAUUGAAUUUAACGUUUUCAGCCAAAUGUUCUUCAUUUUAUCUUACACUGCAUUUUUGUACAGCAUAUCUGUUUUAACAAAAAUUUAAGGAUUAUUGACCACAAUUUUACCCAAUAAAGAAAAAAAUAUUGUAAUUGAAGAAUACAAAAACAUGUACACUGUCAAAGGCAGAUAUAAAUGAACAUCUUAAUCAUUGAUUAAGUAACAUAUGUUAGCAAAGACAAAUUAAGCAGAAAGAUGUUUUUUGCAGAUAAAUGAUAUGGAACUAGCAAUAGGAAGUCACCUAAAUUUUAUAUUUAAAGCUCCUAAAUUUCAUGCUGGUAGACUUCCCUUCAGUGGAUAUCAGAUUGUAUGUAGGGUUGUCAGAUAAAAAAUAAUUAAAUACUGCUAAAAUGAAAACACUUAAGUAAUCUGUAAUUUUAUUGGUCCACAAGUUACUUAAGUGACUUAGUGUUGUUGAAUACACAAUAAAUAUAAAUAUCAGUUACUAAAAAAAUAUUUUGCAAUAAUACAGCAUUAUUAAAGGGGAGACUACUCUUUAUCAGUCAACAAUCAGCAUUUAUAAUUUGAAAAGUAGCCCACACAACAAGCACAAGGUCAAAUAUUACAUUAACUAGCAGUUCUUAAUGCAAAUGAUUUUCUAUGAAAUAUCACUAUGUUACAGGGGUAGAACAUGAAAAGGUAGUAAUUCUAAGUAGAACAAGGGCCAGAUAUACAUAUGAACCUUGACUAAGUUCAGAAUGUUGACACCUGACAAGCUGCUGUGUGUCAGUUAUAAGAAGUUCUGAUUUUCAUGAGUUUAUGGUAACCAUGCAUGCAUGGGCUUCCAUGUAACACUUAUUUUCAAUUUCAAGUGUUGUUAAUGUUCAUUUGGUUAAAACAAGAGUGUAAUGUCCAGAAGUCAACCUUUUUGGGAGGAAAUUACUCCAUACAAUGUCCAGAAGUCAACCUUUUUGGGAGGAAAUUACUCCACACAAACUACAUUGAUUUUAACAGAAUUGUCUUGUGUGUUUCAUUGUCAACAUAGUUAUAUUAAUAGUAAAUUUUUUCAUUAAAACAUUGUCAUCUUUUUAGACGUAUGACCAAUUAUUUAAUGAAAAUAUAUCAAAUGCGAUAUUUAAUUAACCAUAAAAAUAUCAAAAUGAAUAUUUUCUAUCAAAAAUUAAGACAAUUCCUCUAUAAACC
rnacentral:lncRNA from 1 species